UGCAUUCAAGGCAGAAAAAUAUCAAACACCUUCCAGGCACUUGUAAAAGAAGAUUUCAAUGGAGGAAACACUUCUCGGAGGAGACAAUUUCAUUGUAGCUCCGCUAGUAAGUCAAAUUUCAUUGUUUUAUGGAUAUCUAUUGUUAGUAAUCAAUACCGAAAAGUCCACGUGGAGACUUCACAUUCAUACACAUGGCAAGCACCCAAGAAUUGGUGUAGAAGGGACUAAAGUUCGAAGCUGUCAAAUGAAGUGACGAGAUCGUUGUGCUAAGUUCUGCCGAAGUGAUUCACCAUCUACUAUCCUAAGUCCUUUACAAUCGGAAGACGGUCGGAAAAGCACGUCUUCAGAGUUAACUGACGUGACGUGCGCAAUUAAUGAGUGUCAGGAAUGUUAGCCUAGCUUAUAGAGUGGCUGACCUCUUGUCAAAAGUUUAUCGAUGCAAUUAAUAUGUAAUAGAGUUGAUGUAACAGUUAGGGUCGACAAAUCAGACUACGUGUAUUCAAUCCAACAGUAACCACGUUGGCUUAAUCAUUAUAAAUAGGUAAUACUUGUAUCAAUUAAAAGAUCUAAAAACAAUACAAAGAGGGGAAUAAAAUAUUUC
rnacentral:lncRNA from 1 species